GACGAACGCUGGCGGCGUGGAUUAGGCAUGCAAGUCGAACGGUAUCAUCCUUUCGGGGGUGAGAGAGUGGCGAACUGGUGAGUAACACGUAGGUUAUCUACCCUCAAGACGGGGACAACCCAGGGAAACUUGGGCUAAUACCGGAUGUGAGCAACUUUUAGUUGUUUGAAAGGUGGCGUAAGCUGUCGCUUGGGGAUGAGCCUGCGUCCUAUUAGUUAGUUGGUGAGGUAACGGCUCACCUAGGCAAUGAUAGGUAGGCGGCCUUAACGGGUGGUCGCCCACACUGGGAUUGAGAUACGGCCCAGACUCCUACGGGAGGCAGCAGUCGAGAAUAGUCUACAAUGGUCGGAAGACUGAUAGUGCGACGCCGCGUGAACGAUGAAUCCCUUCGGGGUUAAAGUUCUUUUAUAUGUGAGCAGUGCUUCUUAUAUUAACAGUAUGGGAAGAGAGAUAUUAGCAUAUGAAUAAGCAACGGCUAACUCCGUGCCCAGCAGCCGACGGUAAUAC
rnacentral:rRNA from 1 species